AAAUUGAAGAGUUUGAUCAUGGCUCAGAUUGAACGCUGGCGGCAGGCCUAACACAUGCAAGUCGAACGGUAACAGGAAACAGCUUGCUGUUUCGCUGACGAGUGGCGGACGGGUGAGUAAUGUCUGGGAAACUGCCUGAUGGAGGGGGAUAACUACUGGAAACGGUAGCUAAUACCGCAUAACGUCGCAAGACCAAAGAGGGGGACCUUCGGGCCUCUUGCCAUCGGAUGUGCCCAGAUGGGAUUAGCUAGUAGGUGGGGUAACGGCUCACCUAGGCGACGAUCCCUAGCUGGUCUGAGAGGAUGACCAGCCACACUGGAACUGAGACACGGUCCAGACUCCUACGGGAGGCAGCAGUGGGGAAUAUUGCACAAUGGGCGCAAGCCUGAUGCAGCCAUGCCGCGUGUAUGAAGAAGGCCUUCGGGUUGUAAAGUACUUUCAGCGGGGAGGAAGGGGGUAAAGUUAAUACCUUUGCUCAUUGACGUUACC
rnacentral:rRNA from 1 species